GACGAACGCUGGCGGCGUGCUUAACACAUGCAAGUCGAACGGAAAGGCCCUGCUUUUGUGGGGUGCUAGAGUGGCGAACGGGUGAGUAACACGUGAGUAACCUGCCCUUGACUUUGGGAUAACUUCAGGAAACUGGGGCUAAUACCGGAUAGGAGCUCCUGCUGCAUGGUGGGGGUUGGAAAGUUUCGGCGGUUGGGGAUGGACGCGCGGGUUAUCAGCUUGUUGGUGGGGUAGUGGCUUACCAAGUGUUCGACGGGUAGCCGGCCUGAGAGGGUGACCGGCCACAUUGGGACUAAGAUACGGCCCAGACUCCUACGGGAGGCAGCAGUGGGGAGUAUUGCACAAUGGGCGGAAGCCUGAUGCAGCAGCGCCGCGUGCGGGAUGACGGCCUUCGUGUUGUAAACCGCUUUCGCCUGUGACGAAGCGUGAGUGACGGUAAUGGGUAAAGAAGCACCGGCUAACUACGUG
rnacentral:rRNA from 1 species